ACGAGGAGGGAAGGUAAUGCGAAGCAUUUCUAUUAAUACUUCCCGACGGCUUGCCGGCGAGCCGAAGGGGAGGGGGCAUUACAUUGG
rnacentral:sRNA from 1 species